CUACCGGAACAAAGGCCUACUUAUAGAUUUUACGGGUACAUAAUAAUACAGGGUGAUUCACGGAGCCUGUUCGAUAGAAAAAUGUUUAUUUCCCGAAAUCUUAGUAAUAUGAAAUUUGGUAGGCACCAUAAUCGGUUGCUACAAGUCUAAAUAUAGUACAUAUUCGCAAAAUGACGGCACUUCCGCAUCUUCGAUUUUUUAAAUGGAAAGUUCCCAGUUCGAUUCCAUAUUUGCAUUCAGCUUUAAAUUGUGAGUUCAGAACGUCCAUGACAUUUAUUAUUUACAUUUUAAAAUAUUCUCAUUCAAUUGUUUAAUCGCCUAUAAAAGACUCUGUUGUAGUCUUUAACCAGGUCAAUCUGCCUGCCUACUCCCUAUUUAAAAGGUUUUUAAAAAGAGCUAGAAUGAAGCCAGAGGUCCGAGCUGAAGUUGUUUCUGCAUGGUGCACAAGAAUUUGAUGGUGUUUCACAAUGUAUUGAAGAAAUUUGAGCAAAGCAGAUUUAUGGAAGCUGUGUUAGUGAGUCAGUUCAAACUGAUGUACCUAACUGAAGAAUAUUCAAGUGGUGUUUUUCAGAAUUUAGAUUUUUGCAAUUCAAUAAUAUACACCUUGUAAGCAAAAGUUCAAGUGAUGGAUGUAAAUGAGAAUUAUGUUAAAAAUAAAUGCUUUAUCCCUAA